UACGUAGGCAGCGAGCGUUGUUCGGAGUUACUGGGCGUAAAGGGUGUGUAGGCGGUUGUUUAAGUUUGGUGUGAAAUCUCCCGGCUCAACCUGGGAGGGUGCGCCGAAUACUGAAUGACUAGAGUGCGGGAGAGGAGAGUGGAAUUCCUGGUGUAGCGGUGAAAUGCGUAGAUAUCAGGAGGAACACCGAUGGCGAAGGCAGCUCGCUGGGACGGUACUGACGCUGAGGCGCGAAAGCGUGGGGAGCGAACAGG
rnacentral:rRNA from 1 species